rnacentral:rRNA from 1 species
AGGAAUAUUGGUCAAUGGACGAGAGUCUGAACCAGCCAAGUAGCGUGAAGGAUGACUGCCCUAUGGGUUGUAAACUUCUUUUAUACGGGAAUAAAGUGAGGCACGUGUGCCUUUUUGUAUGUACCGUAUGAAUAAGGAUCGGCUAACUCCGUGCCAGCAGCCGCGGUAAUACGGAGGAUCCGAGCGUUAUCCGGAUUUAUUGGGUUUAAAGGGAGCGUAGGCGGACGCUUAAGUCAGUUGUGAAAGUUUGCGGCUCAACCGUAAAAUUGCAGUUGAUACUGGGUGUCUUGAGUACAGUAGAGGCAGGCGGAAUUCGUGGUGUAGCGGUGAAAUGCUUAGAUAUCACGAAGAACUCCGAUUGCGAAGGCAGCCUGCUGGACUGUAACUGACGCUGAUGCUCGAAAGUGUGGGUAUCAAACAGGAUUAGAUACCCUGGUAGUCCACACAGUAAACGAUGAAUACUCGCUGUUUGCGAUAUACAGUAAGCGGCCAAGCGAAAGCGUUAAGUAUUCCACCUGGGGAGUACGCCGGCAACGGUGAAACUCAAAGGAAUUGACGGGGGCCCGCACAAGCGGAGGAACAUGUGGUUUAAUUCGAUGAUACGCGAGGAACCUUACCCGGGCUUGAAUUGCAACUGAAUGAUGUGGAGACAUGUCAGCCGCAAGGCAGUUGUGAAGGUGCUGCAUGGUUGUCGUCAGCUCGUGCCGUGAGGUGUCGGCUUAAGUGCCAUAACGAGCGCAACCCUUAUCGAUAGUUACCAUCAGGUUAUGCUGGGGACUCUGUCGAGACUGCCGUCGUAAGAUGUGAGGAAGGUGGGGAUGACGUCAAAUCAGCACGGCCCUUACGUCCGGGGCUACACACGUGUUACAAUGGGGGGUACAGAAGGCAGCUACACGGUGACGUGAUGCUAAUCCCUAAAGCCUCUCUCAGUUCGGAUUGGAGUCUGCAACCCGACUCCAUGAAGCUGGAUUCGCUAGUAAUCGCGCAUCAGCCACGGCGCGGUGAAUACGUUCCCG